rnacentral:rRNA from 1 species
ACAAAAUAGGGCCGAAAUCCUAUCUUAUUAUUCCAUGCUGCAGUAUUCAAGGCGACAAGCCUGCUUGAAACACUCUAAUUUUCUCAAAGUAAAAGUCCUGGAAAAAACUCCACACAAUGAAGUGUGGAGAAAUCCAGAAGGAUGCUAGAAUUCACCAAGUGCACACCCCUGAGGGCGGACUGGCUGCUUCCAGCAGAAAUCCAACUACGAGCUUUUUAACUGCAACAACUUUAAUAUACGCUAUUGGAGCUGGAAUUACCGCGGCUGCUGGCACCAGACUUGCCCUCCAAUUGUUACUCUGAAAGGGGUUUGGAUUCCUAUCAUUCCAAUCACUAGAAAUGAAAUUUCCAGUGUUGUUAUUUCUUGUCACUACCUCCCUGAAUCAGGAUUGGGUAAUUUGCGCGCCUGCUGCCUUCCUUAGAUGUGGUAGCCGUUUCUCAGGCUCCCUCUCCGGAAUCGAACCCUAAUUCCCCGUUACCCGUCACUGCCACGGUAGUCCAAUACAGUACCGUCGAAAGCUGAUAGGUCAGAAACUUGAAUGAUCCGUCGCAGACCGAAGUCAACGCGAUCCGUUCGGUUACUAUGAAUCACCUGAGGACCACCGGAAGGUGGGUUGGUUCUGUAUCUAAUAAACACUGCCCUUCCGGGGGAAGAGGCAUGUGCGCAUGUAUUAGCCAUAGAAUUACCACGGUUAUCCAUGUAGUAAAGACCAUCAAAUAAACUAUAACUGUUUUAAUGAGCCAUUCGCAGUUUAGCCGUAUAAAAGCUUAUACUUAGACAUGCAUGGCUUAAUCUUUAAGACAAGCAUAUGA